GGCUUUAUAGUUAACUAUAACAUUAGAUUGCAAAUCUGAAGACGAAAAUAUAUUUUCUAAGGCUU
rnacentral:tRNA from 1 species